rnacentral:rRNA from 1 species
UACAGGGGGUGCAAACGUUGCUCGGAAUUACUGGGCGUAAAGCGCGUGUAGGCGGUUGUCCAAGUUGGAUGUGAAAGCCUUGAGCUUAACUCAAGAAAUGCAUUCAGGACUGGAUGACUAGAGGACCGGAGAGGAUAGUGGAAUCCCAGUGUAGUGGUGAAAUACGUAGAGAUUGGGAAGAACACCAGUGGCGAAGGCGGCUAUCUGGACGGUUUCUGACGCUAAGACGCGAAAGCGUGGGGAGCAAACAGG